rnacentral:tRNA from 1 species
GCCCCUGUAGCUCAGUUGGUAGAGCAGCUGCCUUGUAAACAGCAGGUCGCGGGUUCGACUCCUGUCGGGGGCU